rnacentral:lncRNA from 1 species
GCUAGAUGGAUAUUUUUGUUGUUUUAUUUUUAAUGAAUAAGAGAUACUUAUAUUCAUUAAAAUUAGAAAAAAGAUAAUGAAUCACCUCAAAUUACAGAAUUUCCAUAUUUCCCAAAAAACUGACAGUGUGUCUGCCAAUAAUAGCCACAUACAAUAUUUAUGCAAGCCUGGCUUUCUGUAAUGAGAAAUUCAACAAUUGCCAUGGUGAUAUCUUGGGAGGCAAGGAGGAAAUACUGGUGAUAACGGGAGUCUUGAGUGGUGAUGGCGGGCAGCAUCAUACCAUCCCCCUUGGGCCUGGGAUGCUGCCAAGGUCUGCAGCGUGAUGUUUGUCCUCCUCCAUCGUCAUCCAAACAAACAGGAAACUUGCUCUACAGAAAGUAAUUCUUGCUGUUUUUCUUUAUACAUUUCUCAAAAUAUCUUUUAAAUACUUUGUUACAGUAGGUAGUCAGGCCUACAUGAGCAGGGCAAGAGAGCCCUUCCAUCCCAACAGAAAUGUCAGGUUACCAUUAGAUGAUGGUCAGGCAGUUGUUAAACUGUCUCUCUAAAAAAAUAAUUGGUUACAGCCAGUGCCGUGGAAAGGCAGUCUCCCAGCAGAUAGAAACACCUGAAACUGGUGAUCAGCUUCCCAGUAAGGUCUCAGGAGUUGCGCAAGUGGGCUCAAGCAUGCGCAUUAAGAGGCAAAAUGGCGGAGUUUAACUGGUAGAUGACCUUGCACGGACAUUUGACUGGUACGGGAAGAACGCUUCAAAUGAGCAUACAUACAGCUCCGGUAAACACACUGCACGUGUGGCACCUCCAAGAGCGGGCAGGCAACUGCACAGGCAGACAGCCCACCCCAAGGGCAGAAUCAGGGAAGAAGAGACGCAGGACCCCGGAAGCAUGCCAACGUCACACCGCGCACUUCAUCCCUCAAGUCACCCGCGUGGCCCUCUUGCGAGGUCUCACUCUGUCGCCAGCUAGAAUGCAGUGGCACAAUCCCAGCUCAGUGCAGCCUCAACCUCCAGGGCUCAAGUGAUCCUCCCACCUCAGCCUCCUGAGUAACUGGGACUACAGAUGUACACCACCACGCCCAGGAUUGCUGGGAAGAUCAAGGAAGAGAAAAUGAAUAAUAUAUGUAAGAGAACUUUGCACACUACAUAGCCCUACACAGAACGCAUUAUUACCAAGUAUUUUACAUUUAUAAAGUGCUUUUCAAAGCACUCUCCACUUAAAAUUCAAUUCACAAUCACCAGCUAAGGCUGAAGAUUCAGACACAAAAUCCCCGCCUGCAUGAAGCUCAUGUUCUGGACUCUAGAGGAAUCAGGUAAUCCUGUCUAUACCUGUGGAAAAUGCUGUGAAAACAUAGGAUGUUGCUACAAAGAAGUUGGCGUCCAAAUUAGAGAAAUGAGUGCAUCGCUCCUGUUCUCAGGACUCUGGAUUUCUGCAACCUUCUUAAAAUCUUUAAUGAAUAUUUGAAAUUAUCUCAUUGCACCUGUUAUCAAUCCUCUGAUAGGAACCAAGAGAGAUAUAUGUUAUUUCUGAGAAAAGUGAGGCUUCGAAAAGAUAAACAACCUCAUUGUGAUUCAAUGACUUGACGUUCAGCUCACAGUCUAGAAAAUGGCUAAGUGGCAAAACUGGUCUUCAGACUCAAGAAAUGUUCAGUAUUAUACAAUAGAGUGCAUUUGGUGUUUGC